rnacentral:tRNA from 1 species
GGUGGCUCAUUGGUAGAGCGCUUGCCUUUCAUGCCUGAGGCCCUGGGUUCGAUUCCUCAGCACCA